rnacentral:rRNA from 1 species
GAGACGCGGCAGCUACCAUGCAGUCCUUCGGUAACAGGAAGAAGCUUGCUUCUUUGCUGACGAGUGGCGGACGGGUGAGUAAUGUCUGGGAAACUGCCUGAUGGAGGGGGAUAACUACUGGAAACGGUAGCUAAUACCGCAUAACGUCGCAAGACCAAAGAGGGGGACCUUCGGGCCUCUUGCCAUCGGAUGUGCCCAGAUGGGAUUAGCUAGUAGGUGGGGUAACGGCUCACCUAGGCGACGAUCCCUAGCUGGUCUGAGAGGAUGACCAGCCACACUGGAACUGAGACACGGUCCAGACUCCUACGGGAGGCAGCAGUGGGGAAUAUUGCACAAUGGGCGCAAGCCUGAUGCAGCCAUGCCGCGUGUAUGAAGAAGGCCUUCGGGUUGUAAAGUACUUUCAGCGGGGAGGAAGGGAGUAAAGUUAAUACCUUUGCUCAUUGACGUUACCCGCAGAAGAAGCACCGGCUAACUCCGUGCCAGCAGCCGCGGUAAUACGGAGGGUGCAAGCGUUAAUCGGAAUUACUGGGCGUAAAGCGCACGCAGCGGUUUGUUAAGUCAGAUGUGAAAUCCCCGGGCUCAACCUGGAACUGCAUCUGAUACUGGCAAGCUUGAGUCUCGUAGAGGGGGUAGAAUUCCAGGUGUAGCGGUGAAAUGCGUAGAGAUCUGGAGAAUACCCGGUGGCGAAGGCGGCCCCCUGGACGAAGACUGACGUCAGGUGCGAAAGCGUGGGGAGCAAACAGGAUUAGAUAC